rnacentral:rRNA from 1 species
CCUACGGGAGGCAGCAGUAGGGAAUCUUCCGCAAUGGACGAAAGUCUGACGGAGCAACGCCGCGUGAGUGAUGAAGGUUUUCGGAUCGUAAAGCUCUGUUGUUAGGGAAGAACAAGUGCGAGAGUAACUGCUCGCACCUUGACGGUACCUAACCAGAAAGCCACGGCUAACUACGUGCCAGCAGCCGCGGUAAUACGUAGGUGGCAAGCGUUGUCCGGAAUUAUUGGGCGUAAAGGGCUCGCAGGCGGUUUCUUAAGUCUGAUGUGAAAGCCCCCGGCUCAACCGGGGAGGGUCAUUGGAAACUGGGAAACUUGAGUGCAGAAGAGGAGAGUGGAAUUCCACGUGUAGCGGUGAAAUGCGUAGAGAUGUGGAGGAACACCAGUGGCGAAGGCGACUCUCUGGUCUGUAACUGACGCUGAAGAGCGAAAGCGUGGGGAGCGAACAGGAUUAGAUACCCUCAGUAGUC